GGGGAAUUUUGGACAAUGGGGGCAACCUUGAUCCAGCCAUGCCGCGUGAGUGAAGAAGGCCUUCGGGUUGUAAAGCUCUUUCGGCCGGGAAGAAAUCGCGCCUUCUAAUACGGGGUGUGGAUGACGGUACCGGAAGAAGAAGCACCGGCUAACUACGUGCCAGCAGCCGCGGUAAUACGUAGGGUGCGAGCGUUAAUCGGAAUUACUGGGCGUAAAGGGUGCGCAGGCGGCGCCAUAAGACAGCUGUGAAAUCCCCGGGCUUAACCUGGGGACUGCGGUUGUGACUGUGGUGCUUGAGUGCGGCAGAGGGGGGUGGAAUUCCACGUGUAGCAGUGAAAUGCGUAGAGAUGUGGAGGAACACCGAUGGCGAAGGCAGCCCCCUGGGUCGACACUGACGCUCAUGCACGAAAGCGUGGGGAGCAAAC
rnacentral:rRNA from 1 species